GUAGGAUCCGAGCGUUAUCCGAAUUUACUGGGCGUAAAGCGCGUGUAGGCGGCCGGGUAAGUUGGACGUGAAAGCUCCUGGCUCAACUAGGAGAGGUCGUUCAAAACUGCCUGGCUAGAGGGCGACAGAGGGAGGUGGAAUUCCCGGUGUAGUGGUGAAAUGCGUAGAUAUCGGGAGGAACACCAGUGGCGAAGGCGGCCUCCUGGGUCGCACCUGACGCUCAGACGCGAAAGCUAGGGGAGCGAACGGGGAUUAGAUACCCCGGUAGUCCUAGCUGUAAACGAUGUGGACUUGGCGUUGGUGGGGUCAAAUCCAUCAGUGCCGGAGCUAACGCGAUAAGUCCACCGCCUGGGGACUACGACCGCAAGGUUA
rnacentral:rRNA from 1 species